CUCAAUGCCAAACCCUUUUUUUUCUCUUUCAUUAGUCAUUUAACCUUCAGUAAUGCCGCAACAUUUUCUUUCCAUUCCUCGGAAGGUUCAAGAUCCACAUUGACUCACUCAUUGUCCUCGCAACGACAAUGUUUUCUCUCUCUCUCUUUCAUUUGCAGCUGCUCUUGGUGUCACCCCUGACAAAGGAGAUUUGAUUUUUGUUGUUCGUCUCACGGGCCUCGGCAACGGCAACAACAACAACAACGAUAGUGAGUCACCGGUUUCAGUGCAGUGCAAGCUUGGUUGGAUGGAAUGGAUCAUUCCUAUUCCCAUGUUUGGUUAAGUCAAGAGACCCAAGGUGUUCAUCAAUGGCGAAGUUCAAGAAUCUUGCUUUGAUCGUGUUGACCAGAAAGAAGUGAGGUUGUCAUGAUUGGAUAAUUCAUAUCUCUUUGGUCUACAAAAGAUAAGUUUUGUUGAUAAAUUGUUUCAAGUGCCUUUUGAAUUGGAAUGGAACCAUGUGGAGGUUACAUAUGAAAGUGCGUUAUAUAUCCUUCUUAAUUUCUUUUGGCAUGACUAUACAACUUCUUUAAUUAUAGAGCCAUUAAUGGCUAAUGAAUUUUCCUCAAGUGAUGGUGGGGCAAAGUUGCGCAUUGCUUACUAGGUACCCAAACAUACCCUAUGUUAUAUUUGCAAUUGAGGCAUAUAUGCACGUAAGUUAAAUAUACAAUAAAUGUUUUAUGUCCUUCCAUAUAUUUUAAAUGUUUUAUAUUCUUUGUAUUAUUUUGUUUUUAUUUCAUUGAUUGUUGAAAUAUAAAAAUAAUAAAAGAAAUUGAGUUGAAAGUCAACUAUAUAUCAAUUGGAAUUACUAAGAUAUCAUGUAUAUAUAUAAUUUAAACUCUCAAUUACUAAAUAACAUGUUGUGACGUAACAUCUGUUUAGGUAGUAAAUUCUAGUUUUAUAUUAUCUCUUACCUUUUAUAUAAGAAAAAAAAUAUCAUACUUUUUUGUCCUUAUCAUAUAAGAAAUAUAUACUUAAUUUUAGAUGUAUUAUUGCAUAUUACUGAUAAAAAAAAGAUAUUUAUUUAACCUUUUUUUCAUAAAAUGAAUAAUCUUAUUCAAGACAUAGAAGCCUGAUUUUUUAUUUAUUUUUAUGGCCUCUAGUAAACAAUGAUGAUGGGAUCUAGAUCCCUAACCUCUAUUUAAGAUCAUAGAGGUUCUCCAUUCAGCCUAUAGAGAUGGUCAUAAAUAUUCUUCAUAUAUAAAAAUUAUGUCCGAGCUGGUAGUUUUCUUAAUAUUUUAUAAAAAUAAAUAAAUAAAUUUAAUAUUUAAAAAUAUUAGUUCUUACCAUACAAAAUAAAUAGAAAAAAAUAAUAGCGAGAUUUACAGUUAUUCGUACAGUAACAUGGAAACAGACACAGACAUAGUCUUAACUUGGAAGUACAAAACAAACCAUUGUCUCCUUAUCCAACAUGGUGUGCCAGCCCACCCAAUGAAAGUGAAUGAAACAACUUCCGUUUUCUCGACCCAAUUUAAUCUUGAGAAAAUAUUCUAUUUAGAUAAUUCCUAUGUACACCUCCCUUAUUACUAAUAAACUCAUUUCCAUAUUUUUUCCCCAUAUUAGCUUCUCUUCAUAACACAUAUGGGUAGCUUUUCUUGUUACAGAUAUGCUGUUAAAGCAUGAGUAGUUAUAAAGAGCACGUAUUAUUUGAUAAAUUAAGUAAUAUGGAAAAAAAUGUUAUGGUUGCCUUGCCUAAUUAUUUUUCUGUUAGUUAUAUGGUUUAAAGUUCAUGUUUUUUUUUUCUCCCUUUCUUUCCUUCUCCUUCCCUCCUUAUAACAUCACUGAUUUCUCAACACUUGUUAAACCCUCUCCAUCUAUUUCAGAUGUGAUUUUCAGAAUUAUAGCUUUCACAUCUCAAAUGUAGAUGUGAUUCUUCCAUCUUAACAAGUUUCUAAACACAUUAUAUGUAAAAAGUUAAUUAAUAAAAAAGAAUUGUUGGUGAUCCAGGUUAGUGGACCAGUUACUGUGGAACUUAAUGUAAACAUGCAUUGUGAGGCCUGUGUUGAGCAACUCAAGAGGAAGAUACUACAAAUGAGAGGUACCAUUUUUCUCUAUUGAUUUCAAAUUUUCAAUAUGAUCACGGCUUCAUUGUUAGUUGUAAGGGAGAAAGGAAAGGUGAAAAAAUAAAGGGAAAGAAGUGCAAGGCUAUACUUUGCAAUACUUAAGAGACUAGUAUUUAUACAAUUACUUUGUUAUCUUAAAAUUAAGAAUUAAUAGUGUGUACGUAUAAAACUCCUUAUAUUUGAUUUAUUUAGUUGGGUAUAGCAUUUUAUAUUAGAAUAACAUUAAUAUAAUUUUUGUAAGUAAGGUAUGGUUUGUUCAUUGUAAAAAUAUAUAAAAUAUUUUAAAAUUUUGCAAAAAAAUAACAUCGGUUGGUUUAUAACCGAUGUAGAAAGUGCAUUCACAACAUCAGUUAUGACCAAAACCGAUGUUGUAAAGACACUUUCUACAUCGGUUCCGUAAAAACCGAUGUCGUAAUCAAAUUCAACAUCGGUUUUUUCAAAAACCGAUGUUGUCUAUAACUUUCAACAUCGAUUUUUACAGAACCAAUGUAGAAAGUAUUUCAGAAUAUAUAAUUCAACAUUGAUUUUUUCAAAAACCGACGUUGUAUAUAACUUUCAGUAUCGAUUUUUACAGAACCGGUAUAGAAAGUAUUUCAGAAUAUACAAUUCAAGAUCAGUUUUUUGAAAAAAUCGAUGUUGUUUUUUACAUGAUAGCAUCGGUUUUCUUGAAAAACGAAGUUAUAUUGUGUAUUUUAACAUCAGUUUUUAUAACUGAUGUUAACGUUCAUACUUUUAAAGUUGAUAUUUUCAACAUCGAUUCGAAAACCGAUGUUGAAUGUCCAAAAUAACUGAUGUUAAAAGUGUUUUUUUCUAGUAGUGAUAUUUGAAAAUGCAUUACGACAUCGGUUCUUGUAGAAGUGACGCAGAAUGCAAGAAUAAUGUCUUAGGGAAUGCGAAGUGGCUCUCUAUCUCAGUCCUUAUUUUCAUUUUUUUUAAUCUCUCUCUCCUUUAUUUUUGAAAAACCCUAAAGUCUCCUCCUUGCUCUCUCUCUCUCUCUUUGCGCCUCCAUCUCCUUUUCUUCCAUACUCCCUUAGCUUCUUCUGUUCAAAUUCCAGAUCCUUACCAGCUCCAUCGUGAGGCACAUGCUCAUUCGCAUAAUCCUACUUGUGUGUGUUGUCUCAAUUGUGUCUGUGUACCGCACCCUAUCCCCUUUUGAUUUUGGAACCCUCGCUCCCAUCACCACCUACUUCGACCGUGUCUCUGGCUUCCAGAGCUUCAUCUUCUGCCACAGUUCCCCCUUCCUCCGAACUCGGUUCGGGGUCUGCCUGCAAGGAGAAGAACCAACAUGUAUGGUUCAAGGAGAAGGAGAAAGUAGUGUUGUUGUUCGAAAGCGAUUACAAAGGAAGAGAAGGAGAAUGUAGUGUUGUUGUUCGAAAGCGAUUACAAAGGAAGAGAAGGAGAAUGUAGUGUUGUUGUUUGAAAGCAAUUCAAGGAGAAGCAGCAACAAGAACAACCCUUUCCUUCCACAAGGACCAUCAUCAACCAACAACACCGUCAAUGUGCCUCCCUCCCCAACAACACUCAACCAUUUCAAUUUUUUUUUUCCUUUUAUUUAAGAAAACAAAAUCACUAAUCUUCCAUUCCAUCUGAAACAUCACCUUCACACACAUCUCGCAUGCACUAAUUGAACGUGGCCUCAUUUAUAUAUUUCAUUAUGGAAGCCUGCAGAAAAUGAUUUCUCUUAGUUGGCACUUCUUAUUAUUAAUUAUACCUUUAUUUCCAUUACUGUGGAAGCCCCAUCAUUUCAAGUUUCAUUCUUGAAAAUGAAAUUUAAAGGGGAUGUUAUUGGAUGGCAAGAGGAGGAUUGUAGAAUUGUCUAUAUCUCUGCUGGUUUUCUACUUUUAAGGUUUAAAUGAAUGCAACGUGAACUUGGAAUGAAACCAUGUAUGGUUGAGUGCAACUUUUUCUACUUUUAAGGUGGUAUGCCUGCAAGGAGAAGAAACAGUAAGCUUCGCCUGCAAGGAGAACAAAAAUGGAAGUUUCAAAGGUAAACCAAUUUGCUCUAUCUGUUUUCUAUCUCAGCUUGUGGAGAAGAAACACGAAGCUCUCACUUAGAGUAUUUUUCUUUCAUUUUUUGUCUAUGCUUUAUGUUCUUUAUAAUUUAUGAGGAUAUGCUGUUAUGGAAAGUUGGAAAAGAGACUUAGACUAACAGAUUUUAAUGAAUAUUGUGGGCCAUUGUAUAUUUGUAUUGCAAGCAUUCACUUUUUAGUUUCUCGUUGUGGCAAUUGGUUUCAUUUCCCUUACCUACUCUCUUAGCUGUGUGGUUUCACUUCCUAGUGAACAUUAGCCUAGAAGCAGCCCAAAAGUUCCAUUAGUUAUAUUGGUGUGAAGGCUACCUUUUGGAUUUCUUCUCACUUCAUCUCUACUUGCUUGGUGGUGUUGUUAUUCAAGAAACUAAGAAAGUUCCUGGACUUAGUGAAUCAAAUAACAUUAAAAAUUAAGAGUUGUUGUAGAAAUUAGGGUUGAUUUACUACAAAAAUUUUACCGGCCCUUACAAAAAUCAUAUUUCCACAUGCAACAAUAUUCAAUCUCUCACUACUACAAAACCUGUUUAUUACGACGCACUAACAAUAUCGGUUGGUAUACCACCAUCUUUGAAAAUAAUGGGAUGGAACGCUCGUAAUUAAAUUGUAAAUUUAAGGACGGUCAUUUAAAGACUGUCGUAGUGCUUCUCUAUACAAAGACGAUUUUACCCCACCAUCUUUGAAUGGUUAUAUUUUUAUUAUUUUCUCUCUCUCUCUCUCUCUCUCUCUCUCUCUCUCUCUCUCUUAUCUUAUCACUGGCAGCUAUAGGGACCUGUGACCCUUCAUUUCUUUCCUUAGUCUCGCUUCUCUCUCUCGGGCGAAGAACUCCUUAAGGAGACAUUUAGCUCUUUGAGGAUUAGAACCCCUCGAUCCCUUCCUUUUCCCCUUAAAUUCCACACCUCCUUCUCCUUCAAGUCUUCGGCCUCAACCUUCCACGCCUUCUCCAAUGUUGAGGAGGACAAAGAAGAUGAUGAAGAAGAAGACCAAGAUCCACCGAAUGUUUUAGGCGAAUGCCAAGGGAGAUUCCGACGAGCUGUAGAUCCACCGAAGGUGGAGGACAAGAUCGGUGUUGUGCCUCAUGGCCUUUCAACCAAUUCAGAUGUCGUCAAGAGGUGUGCGUUGUUUGAUUUCCCUUUUUCUCUUGUUCUCUUGUUUUUCUAGUAGUUGAUCUCGAAGAGAUCUGUCCGGAGCAACACAAAGAAGUUUAAGUUCCAAGCGGAAGUGUCGCGACUUAUGGAUCGUGUUCCACCCCAGAAACCCUAAUCAAAAGCCCAUUCAGAGCCUUAAGGGCCAUCAUGGGCGACAACUACUAUAUCUGCAGGUUCCAGGGUAUCGUUUUCUAGUUCUAGUUGCGGGAAAAAUUUGCAAAUGGAAGAAAUGAAGGUUGCUUCAAACUUGUUGGUGGGUGACCCUGCUUCACUGGAGAAGAAAAUUGAUGCAAUUCGUUUCGGUGGUCCCUAGAAGCUUCAGGUUUUUGCAUGCAUUUGGUUGAUAUUUAAUUUAAUUGUUGUAUUGUGUAUUCCAUAAUUAUUUUUUUGUGUGUGUGCUAAAUGAAUUGGCUCAAUGUGAUGGCUUAAAAAAUGGGUUGCCUUUGAAAAAUGGUUUUUGUUUUUUUUUUUUUGAGAUUGCUGAUUUUUAUGCCACGUUAACAAAGUUUUGUGUUAAUGGAACUCGUGGCCAAAGUAUGUUGUUCCCUCAACGUUUUAUUCCUCCCUUUGAGGUUUUGAGGCAAGAAAAACUGUCAUUAGGAAUUGAUAUGUAUCAUAUCUCAUAGAUUCAUUUGCACUUUUGUAGCCACUCAUGGUCUUUUAAGCAGGGUAAUCUAGAAUAUGAUGCCAAAAGGCAACAGUUAUAUGAAUAUUACCAUCCAUUAGUGUUUUCGCCGACUAUUGGACUUGAAGAGUAAACAAAGCUCAUGGAAGAGUGGUGUGUGAAUUGAUGGUGGGGAAAAACACAAGGUCUUCUUGUUGAGGGAGGACUUACAUAUGAUUCAAUAAGACAAUCAGUUGGUAAUGCCAACAUAGCUUUCAGGGAAUGUGUUUCUGAACUUUUUUGAGUUUCUGGAGGUUAAAGAGAAAACCAUAGCCACAAGAGGGAUUGAAGUUAAGACUAUUAUAUUCCCUUCAGCUAACGAGAGAUUUUGAUGAGCUAGCAACUAAUUUUGCUUUUGAUGAUGAGCAAUCUCAGAGGUGAAGCUUAUUUGAUUUCAAAGAUAUCAUAAUUUUCUGCUCAAUGACUCCAGUCUCGAAGUUGUUUCUGAUUUUCCCUUUAGAAAGGUCCAUGAAUGCAUAGAAGCCUACAAAUCAUACACAUUUAAUAGUUAGUAACAAUAAAAAAUGUAGAUUUUUAAUAAAUUUGAAAUAUGUAACCAUGGAAUCACCGUAUUUGGAAUUGUUUCAAUAAGAGCAAUGUAAGAAGAAGUACAUAACACUUAAUAUAGGCGUAACAAGAGAGGUAGGCCAGCUUAUUGGAAAAUAUCUGGCAUCAAAAUGUAAUGAUAAUAAGCAAGAUUCUGCUGCAUCCUGCUAGGGUAAUCUCAUCUGGUAUCAUAAUAUAGUAAAACAAGAUUCAAUCAUGCCCCAUCAAUAAAUGUUAGGUGCAUCCUAUAUGUUCACUAGAUAA